UCUCCUACGGGAGGCAGCAGUGGGGAAUAUUGCACAAUGGGGGGAACCCUGAUGCAGCGACGCCGCGUGAAGGAAGAAGUAUCUCGGUAUGUAAACUUCUAUCAGCAGGGAAGAAAGAGGACGGUACCUGACUAAGAAGCCCCGGCUAACUACGUGCCAGCAGCCGCGGUAAUACGUAGGGGGCGAGCGUUAUCCGGAUUUAUUGGGUUUAAAGGGUGCGCAGGCGGCCUGUUAAGUCAGCGGUAAAAGCCCGGGGCUCAACCCCGGCGAGCCGUUGAAACUGGCGGGCUGGAGUUGGAGAGAAG
rnacentral:rRNA from 1 species